rnacentral:rRNA from 1 species
AGCGUUAAUCGGAAUUACUGGGCGUAAAGGGCGCGUAGGCGGCCUGUUAAGUCGAACGUGAAAUCCCCGGGCUCAACCCGGGAACUGCGUCCGAUACUGGCAGGCUUGAAUUCGGGAGAGGGAUGCGGAAUUCCAGGUGUAGCGGUGAAAUGCGUAGAUAUCUGGAGGAACACCGGUGGCGAAGGCGGCAUCCUGGACCGAGAUUGACGCUGAUGCGCGAAAGCCAGGGGAGCAAACGGG